UGAUGGGAGUUGGAGUCUAUAAUUAGGGAUGAUGGGAAUUGGAGUCCAUAAUAAGGGAUGGUGGGACUUGGAGUCUCUAAUUAGGGAUGAUGGGAGUUGGAGUCUGUCUCUAAUUGGGGAUGAUGGGAGUUGGUGUCCAUAAUAAGGGAUGAUGGGACUUGGAGUCUAAGUCUAUAACUAGGGAUGAUGGGACUUGGAGUCAUCGACCAUAGAGUUUUGUUUUCCGUGACGGCGCUCUCAACGCUCUCCCUCUUCUUCUGCCAUUUUGUUUUCCAGCCGCGUGGUCCUCCCUUGCUCUGUCCAAGAGUACCAGGUGGGCCAGCUCUAUUCAGUGGCGGAGGCGAGCAAGAACGAAACUGGCGGCGGUGAAGGAAUCCAGGUCCUGACGAAUGAGCCUUACGAAAAGGACGGCGAAUGCGGGCAAUACACGCACAAGGUCUACCACCUUAAGAGCAAAGUCCCCGGAUUCGUGCGGAUGUUUGC